GCCGCCGCCACUCUCUUCAUCGGGAUCCUCCCAUAUCCAUCCACCCUUUGCCAGCCGAUCCUGACCAACUCCCUCUUUUUCAGCACCGGUCCAACCUCCUCCUCUCGAGAGCCCCGACCAGAGCACCACCAAGCAGAGCAUCGGCCAACCCCCAAGCGCCGCCCUCACCCAACCAGCUCUCAGCCGCCUCCCCUUCCCUGCUCCCGUGCGUGUCCAGCACCAAAGGAGAGGUGCUCCUCGAGCCCUCGAUCCAGCGCGCAGGUGCCUGAGCGCCUCCUCACCUCGUCCCCGCACCGCUCGUCGGAAGAUCCACCAGGUCUCCUGCCUCGCCGGAGGUCGACUAUGGUCGCCCAGGCCAGGAGUAACCCUGGCUGCCAGGGCUCGAACUCACGCCGCCGGCGUCCUGCGCACCCCGUGCUCCGUUCCUCGCACCAUCGCUCGGAUCUGGCGACCCUGCCCCGGAUCCACCCAUCCCUGGCCUCGCCGCAUGACGCCAUGCCCUCGCCUUGCCGGAGUUCCAGCCAGCGCACCUCCAGGGCCUUGCCUCGCCGCGGCUCCCGCUGAACCUCCCCGCCGCUUGCGUUUUUCUUCAGAGACGAGCAGUGUAGCUCGCCCGAUGCCUGUUGACGCGUCGCCCUCCCAUGUGGGCUGCCACAUCGCCUGCAGGCCUCCCAGCGCUCAAGGCCCAUCUGAGAUCCAGCAAGGCCCAGCUCCCUUGGCCCAUGGUGAGGCGCCUCCAGCAGCGCCUCGUUUGUUUUGUUUUUUCUUCUUCUACUCAUUUGGCCCAACUUGCACCAGAUUUGGCCCAUAGAUGUUUUUUUAGUUCUGUGAAUUUACUAAUUUUCCU